AGUGAACGCUGGCGGUAGGCCUAACACAUGCAAGACGAACGGCAGCACAGUAAGAGCUUGCUCUUACGGGUGGCGAGUGGCGGACGGGUGAGGAAUACAUCGGAAUCUACUUUUUCGUGGGGGAUAACGUAGGGAAACUUACGCUAAUACCGCAUACGACCUACGGGUGAAAGCAGGGGAUCUUCGGACCUUGCGCGAUUGAAUGGGCCGAUGUCGGAUUAGCUAGUUGGCGGGGUAAAGGCCCACCAAGGCGACGAUCCGUAGCUGGUCUGAGAGGAUGAUCAGCCACACUGGAACUGAGACACGGUCCAGACUCCUACGGGAGGCAGCAGUGGGGAAUAUUGGACAAUGGGCGCAAGCCUGAUCCAGCCAUACCGCGUGGGUGAAGAAGGCCUUCGGGUUGUAAAGCCCUUUUGUUGGGAAAGAAAAGCAGCAGGUUAAUACCCCGCUGUUCUGACGGUACCCAAAGAAUAAGCACCGGCUAACUUCGUG
rnacentral:rRNA from 1 species